UACAGAGGUCCCAACCGUUGUUCGGAUUCAUUGGGCGUAAAGGGUGCGUAGGCGGUCGGGUAAGUCGGAUGUGAAAUCUCAGGGCUCAACCCUGAAACUGCAUUCGAUACUGCCUGGCUAGGGUACUGGAGAGGAGACUGGAAUUUACGGUGUAGCAGUGAAAUGCGUAGAUAUCGUAAGGAAGACCAGUGGCGAAGGCGAGUCUCUGGACAGUUACCGACGCUGAGGCACGAAGGUCAGGGGAGCAAACGGG
rnacentral:rRNA from 1 species